rfam:Lachnoclostridium sp. YL32, complete genome.
ACAGUACAAACUGAGCAGGCCGGAGGCGGGAAAAAGCCUUGGGAGCCGGGCCGCGAACAGCGGCAGCAGACCGUAACGUCUGUGGGACAGUG